rnacentral:rRNA from 1 species
GAUGAACGCUGGCGGCGUGCUUAACACAUGCAAGUCGAGCGAGUGAGUUCUUCGGAACAAUCUAGCGGCGGACGGGUGAGUAACACGUGGGCAACCUGCCUCAUAGAGGGGAAUAGCCUUCCGAAAGGAAGAUUAAUACCGCAUAACAUCGUUGAAGGGCAUCCUUCGAUGACCAAAGGAGCAAUCCGCUAUGAGAUGGGCCCGCGGCGCAUUAGCUAGUUGGUGAGGUAACGGCUCACCAAGGAGACGAUGCGUAGCCGACCUGAGAGGGUGAUCGGCAACAUUGGGACUGAGACACGGCCCAGACUCCUACGGGAGGCAGCAGUGGGGAAUAUUGCACAAUGGGGGAAACCCUGAUGCAGCAACGCCGCGUGAGUGAUGACGGCCUUCGGGUUGUAAAGCUCUGUCUUUGGGGACGAUAAUGACGGUACCCAAGGAGGAAGUCACGGCUAACUUCGUGCCAGCCGCCGCCGUAAUAC